ACCCUUGCUCAACUUGUUGUUAUUCUCCCUGAGCGAUGGCGUCCAAAAAGCCUGAUAAAACCUAUGAAGAAAUGGUCAAGGAAGUAGAAAGGCUUAAACUGGAGAAUAAAACACUUAAACAAAAGGUUAAGUCUUCAGGCGCUGUCUCAUCAGAUGAUAGCAUCUUGACAGCUGCCAAGAGAGAAAGUAUCAUUGUCUCUUCAUCCAGAGCACUAGGAGCAGUGGCUAUGAGAAAAAUCGAGGCUAAAGUCAGAUCCCGGGCGGCCAAAGCUGUUACAGAGCAGGAACUAACCUCUCUUCUCCAAUCGCUGACCCUGAGAGUUGACGUGUCUAUGGAGGAAACUACUGUGGGUGCCAGCGGAGGGAUUGGCCCAUCCUCUCAAACAGAGACCAAGAAAAGAAGACCCAGCAUCAUCGAUGAACGCGUCCUCAGAUGAUCCGGGACACGCUUCCUGAGUAAUUUGUUCUGGGAACACGUUGGAACAUGUCUCAUCCUGUUUUCCAACAAAAUCUUGUCCCUGAGGCUCAACAAUUGGCGGGGCGGGCGUUGAGCCAGAUUGCACAAUAUGCUGGACAGGCGUAUCCCUGUGGCUAGAGAGCAACUCGGCCAGAAAACCAUAAGCCUGUUCGUGCCCAGAAGUGCGAGCUGUGGGUUUCUUGUUUGGACUACCGUCUGAAGAAUAAUUUACCUCCUCAUCGCUCUCCCUUAAUCUCUUUGCGGAACAGGUGUGAUUAUCUGGAAUUAGUUGUGGUUGAACGGCGCCUGUGUACUCAAAGGAUCCGCCCAUAGCUGAGUUGGGAGUAGCAGAGACUCCAAUCAACUGGCUCAAGUAGACCUGCUUCGAUCCGUGCCAGUCCUAUAAGAACAGAAAACAUGGGGGAUGAAUUUUAUUAUCCUUCUCUGGAAAGCGUGGUCCACACCUUUUGUGUCAUAGAUACUAGGGAACAUAAUAGACCUCACCAGCUUUUACAGUGGAUGAAAUGUUUGCAACAGUGGCUGCUAGAUUGAAGGAUCUGAUAGAAUAUUCAUGUGACUGUGAGAACUGUGAAUUGUUGGCUGAAUCCCUGACAAAUUAUAAGUUUUCCCUGGUACCUAUAAAGAUCAGGCCACACACCGAUACCUGUGUCUCACUGAAAACACUCCAGCGGCUACGGACUGCCAUGUUAGGCAAUCCUGAAACCCUGAGUAUUUGGACCCUUGAUGACCUGGUGGAGGACCCAGUAGUCUUCAAAGGCUAUGAAAGCGCAAUUAGGAGAGAAUUUGCUGAGCAUGUCACAUGUUUGAACAUGUGCUGGGUUGUGAAGAUAAUCUUGGACUGCAUGUCUCAGCCAACAGCUCUGCUUCGGGAUUGUAUUCAGAAGGGUGCAAAGAAUAAUGGACUCCAGCUGGACACUUCGAGUACCUGGACGUGGCCAGCAGCACGUAUUGCUGAAAAGGAAGUCAUAGAACAUACCAUGAGUGUUUGUGUACAGGAUAUGACUAGAAGUCAUGAUCAGGAAUUCUACACAGAGGCCUUUAAGGAAGAUCUCCAUAUAGGAUUAAAGAGACUAGUUGCCAUGGUCCUUGGGCAGAAUCAUAGUUGGUUAGAUGGCUUUCUGACAGACACUAUAGUGACAGGUGUGUUGCUUGAAAGGUAUUUUGCUGUACUAACCCAACACCACCUAUUUAUCAUGUUUGGAAGCCUAUUAAAAACUGUGCUAUUGAC
rnacentral:tmRNA from 1 species